AUUGAACGCUGGCGGCAUGCCUUACACAUGCAAGUCGAACGGUAACAGGUCUUCGGAUGCUGACGAGUGGCGAACGGGUGAGUAAUACAUCGGAACGUGCCUAGUAGUGGGGGAUAACUACUCGAAAGAGUGGCUAAUACCGCAUGAGAUCUACGGAUGAAAGCAGGGGAUCGCAAGACCUUGUGCUACUAGAGCGGCUGAUGGCAGAUUAGGUAGUUGGUGGGAUAAAAGCUUACCAAGCCGACGAUCUGUAGCUGGUCUGAGAGGACGAUCAGCCACACUGGGACUGAGACACGGCCCAGACUCCUACGGGAGGCAGCAGUGGGGAAUUUUGGACAAUGGGCGAAAGCCUGAUCCAGCAAUGCCGCGUGCAGGAUGAAGGCCUUCGGGUUGUAAACUGCUUUGUACGGUAACGAAAGCUUCGGUUAAUACCCUGGAGCCGAUGACGGUACCGUAAGAAUAAGCACCGGCUAACUACGUGCC
rnacentral:rRNA from 1 species